AGAAGUGGCUAGUCUAACCGCAAGGAGGACGGUCACCACGGUAGGAUUCAUGACUGGGGUGAAGUCGUAACAAGGUAGCCGUAUCGGAAGGUGCGGCUGGAUCACCUCCUUUC
rnacentral:rRNA from 6 species